rnacentral:rRNA from 1 species
AUACAGACGGGAGUAGCAGCGGGGUGAGUGCGGAGGGUGGAAGGGUGAAUGGGAAGACGAGGGCGUGAAGCGGUGGCAGGCGGUUAUGGAAGACAGAUGUGAAAACUCCCGGCUCAACCUGGGAACUGCCGUUGGGACUGGAUAGCGAGAGUACGGCAGAGGGGGAUGGAAUGCCGCGUGGAGCAGUGAAAUGCGUAGAGAUGCGGAGGAACACCGAUGGCGAAGGCAAUCCCCUGGGCCUGGACUGACGCGCAUGCACGAAAGCGUGGGGAGCAAACAGGAUUAGAUACCCGAGUGGUC